rnacentral:lncRNA from 1 species
CGCAACCUUCAUUCUCUGAACAUGCGAGUUCUUCACGGGCCAGCACUCCGCCCCAUAUAACAUCGCAGGCCUAACCACGGCUCUGUAGAAUUUCCCGUUGAGUUUGUGUGGAAUUUUCUUGUCACACAGGACCCCUGAAGCGAGCCUCCACUUUGACCACCUCGCUCCAAUCCGAUGGGUGACGUCCCCGUCAAUCUCUCCGUCCCCCUGAAUCACAGCUAUCUAACACUGUCCCUCUUGGCGAUGGCCUGAUAACCAAGCAUCACUUCCCCGCCUACCCCAUCUCUCCGUCCCCCUGAAUCACAGACCCAAGGUAUCUAACACUGUCCCUCUUGGCGAUGGCAUGAUAACCAAGCAUCACUUCCCCGCCUACUCCACUCAGCCCGUCGCCAAACUUGCACUCCAGAUAUUCUGUCUUAGAUCUGCUUAUUUUGAUUCAGUUUAAAAUUGAUUGUUUAUUAUCGCUUAGUACUUCUUUUUUUUUUAGACUGGUAAAAAUAUUAAUGGUUAGUACUUAGAUGGACUUCAUAUUCUCCUGUGCCAAUCAAAGAGUAGGAGUUCUCAUCAUUCUAUCAUAAUCACGUAAUUUGAAAUAAAAUCGC